CAGUCGCCGCGGUAAUACGGAGGAUCCAAGCGUUAUCCGGAAUCAUUGGGUUUAAAGGGUCCGUAGGCGGUCUUGUAAGUCAGUGGUGAAAGCCCAUCGCUCAACGGUGGAACGGCCAUUGAUACUGCAGGACUUGAAUUAUUGGGAAGUAACUAGAAUAUGUAGUGUAGCGGUGAAAUGCUUAGAGAUUACAUGGAAUACCAAUUGCGAAGGCAGGUUACUACCAAUUGAUUGACGCUGAUGGACGAAAGCGUGGGUAGCGAACAGGAUUAGAUACCCGAGUAGUCCCUGUCUCUUAUAC
rnacentral:rRNA from 1 species